rnacentral:rRNA from 1 species
GAGACUCUGUGCGCGUGCAUAUCAAUAAGCGGAGGAAAAGAAACUAACAAGGAUUCCCCUAGUAACGGCGAGUGAAGCGGGAAGAGCUCAAAUUUGAAAUCUUAAAGGGUUUCCCUUUACGAAUUGUAGUUUAAAGAAGUGUUUUCUGUUGGAGUUUCGGCUAAAAGUUCUUUGGAAUAGGACAUCAUAGAGGGUGAGAAUCCCGUAUUUGAUCCGUUACUUUCCAGCUGUGUGAUACACUUUCAAAGAGUCGGAUUGUUUGGGAAUGCAGUCCAAAAUGGGUGGUAAAUUUCAUCUAAAGCUAAAUAUUGGCGAGAGACCGAUAGCGAACAAGUACCGUGAGGGAAAGAUGAAAAGAACUUUGAAAAGAGAGUUAAACAGUACGUGAAAUUGUCAAAAGGGAAGCGUUUGACACCAGUGUUGUUUAGUUGAAAAUCAAUUCAAUAAUUUUUGAUUUUAAGUAGUAUUGACUUCAUCAGCUUGCUGCUUUCUUUUCAGGAAUUAUUGAAUGCACUUUUCAGUUAACAAGUCAACAUCAAUUUCUUUUGUUGUAAAAGGGUAAGAGGAAGGUGGCUUACGCUUCGGCGUAAGUGUUUAUAGCCUUUUACCUCUGCAAUCGGAGAGAUUGAGGACAGCAGCGUAGACUCUUCGGGGUUAGAUACACUUGUGCUAAGCUAUAGCCUUGUAUAGACAACUUGUUGACUAUGCUCAGUCAUGUAGCUUACUCGCUUGUGCUAUUUUACCUACGCUUAGGAUGUUGAACUCUAUCACACACAG